rnacentral:rRNA from 1 species
CCUACGGGAGGCAGCAGUGGGGAAUAGUGGGCAAUGGACGCAAGUCUGACCCAGCAACGCCGCGUGAAGGAAGCAGGCUCUCGGGUUGUAAACUUCUGUUAAGGGGGAAGAGCAGAAGACGGUACAUCUUGAAUAGGACACGGCUAAAUACGUGCCAGCAGCCGAGGUAAUACGGAGGUGGGAUGCGGUGUCCGGAUUUACUGGGUGUAAAGGGCGGGCAGCCGGAGGUACAAGUCAGAUGUGAAAUACACGGUCUCAACCCGUGCAAGGCCUUUGAAACUGUUUCCCUUGAGUGUCGGAGAGGUAAUCGGAAUUCCUUGUGUAGCGGUGAAAUGCGUAGAUAUAAGGAAGAACACCAGUGGCGAAGGCGGCAUACUGGACGAUAACUGACGGUGAGGCGCGAAAGCGUGGGGAGCAAACAGGAUUAGAUACCCUAGUAGUC